GACGAACGCUGGCGGCGUGCUUAACACAUGCAAGUCGAACGGAAAGGCCCUGCUUUUGUGGGGUGCUCGAGUGGCGAACGGGUGAGUAACACGUGAGUAACCUGCCCUUGACUUUGGGAUAACUUCAGGAAACUGGGGCUAAUACCGGAUAGGAGCUCCUGCUGCAUGGUGGGGGUUGGAAAGUUUCGGCGGUUGGGGAUGGACUCGCGGCUUAUCAGCUUGUUGGUGGGGUAGUGGCUUACCAAGGCUUUGACGGGUAGCCGGCCUGAGAGGGUGACCGGCCACAUGGGAACGGGGAAACGGCCAGGACGCCUACGGGGGGCAGCGGUGGGGAAUAUGGCACAAGGGGCGGAGGCCGGAUGAAGCAACGCGGGGUGGGGGAGGACGGCCUUCGGGUGGUAAACCGCUUUCGCCUGUGACGAGGCGUGGGUGACGGUAAUGGGUAAGGAAGCACCGGCUAAUUACGU
rnacentral:rRNA from 1 species